AGUGCGCUUCCAAAUAGCAUCCUCGCCAUCCAAACUCAUUGCAGGUAUACUUAAGGUAUUCUCCUUCUCUCGAACAUUUUCAUUUUCCUGUUGAGAGAUGGAAUCAGAUUUCCUCUUGUUAGAUUUUGUAUGAAAGAUUCCUUGAAGUUCUUUUUCACUCUCAGGAGAAAAUGCAGUUUGCAUCACCACUUCCUCCCCAUGCUCAGAAUCCCCAACAGCAUAGUUUCGCACUUCACCCAUUGUUGGUUUCAACGAAUUACCAUCUAGACCUUCAACUUCAGAACUCAAACUGGAAGAAGCUUCUGGCGAAGGUGUU
rnacentral:misc_RNA from 1 species